rnacentral:lncRNA from 1 species
GAUGGUGUCUCUGCUGCCCGGGCUGGAGUACAGUGGCAUGAUCUUGGCUCACUGCAACUUUAUAAUAACUUCAUAUGGGAUUUGACCUCAAUACUUUUCUGUUGCUUAUUUCUACGUAGGAUUAGUUUUCCUGAACUCUUAGAAUGAGUUGGGAUUUAAGAUGGCUUUUUAAACUCCAUAGACUCCCUCCCUCUGUUUUUUUUUGUGUGUAAUGUUAAAAAAAAGUCGUUUUCCAGUUUGUUCCCCUUCCCAACUUUUGUCUUGGUAUUCUCUUUCCUUUCCAUCUUUCCUUUCUGUUGUCCCUAUCCAGUUCAAUUUUUUUUUCUGCCCCCAGUAGUUUUUCUCAGUGUAGGGGCUUUGUCCUGGAAAGGAAUCCUGUAGAUGAGCAAUUCUGACUCCCUUGGCCCCACUAUCCUCCUUUAUCUCCAGCAAAAUUCCAGACCUUUUAUUAGGGACUGGCAGCUGUCCUCAGAUACUGUCCUCAUGUUCACUGGAAAAUAUUUGUCUAACACACAUAUUAUUCUAUUGUUUGGAUACUAUUUAAAGUAUCUGACCAAGAUGACCCUAUCCUCUCCCAUUUCAUGUGCUAGCAAACUAAUAUGUUGACUUCUUAAAUUUCUUUUAUCGUUUUGCUUGAUUCAGCAAAACCAAAAAACUAAAAGGCAGAAAACAAAUUGAUAGUCACUGUAGUCAGUUAAUAUCUUUAUUGUAUUGAGUUCAUACAAGUCAAUUUAAAAAUCUAUUAAGUUCUAAUAAAUAAGUGAACAGAAGUUCACGUCACAAAAUAUAGUAAACAAAUAGAUGGAAAAACUUUAGUUUUGCUAACAAUAAAGAAAUGUGAAGUUAAGAUAAGGGCAUCUUCCUUUUUCCUCAUUUAUGUUUGCCAAAAAAUUUAAAAGCAUGAUACUUAUUAUGAGUAUGGAUUCAGUGAAAUUGGUACUGGGAUGGCCACUCUGGGUCCUAUGCUUUUGGCAGGCAGCCUGGUGUUUUAAAAAGGCUUUUGAAUGGCAACAGACUUUACCAUUAUAUUCUACAGAAAUGGUAAAUAAGCCAUGAUUUUUAUUUUAUAUAUUCAGAUAUACGUGUGAAUGUUAAUUGCUUUGUGCCUUCGCUGUUUUUAGAACAGCCUUCUUUCAUACCUUACUGGUGAUGUAUUAAUAGCACCAUUUUGGAAUGCAGUUUGGUAUAGUAUGUUUCAAGAAUCAUAGGAUUCUUGUCUUUUUUUGAAUUCCGAGUCCCAUUUCUGAGAUUCUCUACUAAGGAAGUAAUAAAAAGUAUAGUAACAACUAUAUCCUUAAAAAUGGCCUAUAUAACAAAUAAAUAGACUCUAAAUGCCCUAUUAAAGGAAAGUGGAGCCAGGUAUGAUUACUUGCAUGCCUGUAAUCUCAGCUACUUGGGGGGCUGAGGUGGGAGGAUUGCUUGAACCCAGGAGUUUGAGUCUAGUCUGUGUAAGAUAAUGAGACCCCAUCUAUUUAAAAAAAAAGUUGGG